ACAAUGGAGAGUUUGAUCCUGGCUCAGGAUGAACGCUAGCUACAGGCUUAACACAUGCAAGUCGAGGGGAAACGAUAUCGGAAGCUUGCUUCCGAUAGGCGUCGACCGGCGCACGGGUGAGUAACGCGUAUCCAACCUGCCCACCACUUGGGGAUAACCUUGCGAAAGUAAGACUAAUACCCAAUGACGUCUCUAGAAGACAUCUGAAAG
rnacentral:rRNA from 1 species